rnacentral:rRNA from 1 species
UACGGGGGGAGCAAGCGUUGUUCGGAUUUACUGGGCGUAAAGGGCGCGUAGGCGGCCACCGCAAGUCAGUUGUGAAAUCUCUGGGCUUAACCCAGAAAGGUCAACUGAUACUGCGGGGCUAGAGUGCAGAAGGGGCAACUGGAAUUCUCGGUGUAGCGGUGAAAUGCGUAGAUAUCGAGAGGAACACCUGCGGCAAAGGCGGGUUGCUGGGCUGACACUGAUGCUGAAGCGCGAAAGCUAGGGGAGCGAACGGG